AACGAACGCUGGCGGCAGGCUUAACACAUGCAAGUCGAACGAGAUCUUCGGAUCUAGUGGCAGACGGGUGAGGAACACGUGGGAACAUCCCUUUCAGUUCGGAAUAACGUUGGGAAACUAACGCUAAUACCGGAUACGUCCUUCGGGAGAAAGAUUUAUCGCUGAAAGAUUGGCCCGCGUCUGAUUAGCUAGUUGGUGAGGUAACGGCUCACCAAGGCUACGAUCAGUAGCUGAUCUGAGAGGAUGAUCAGCCACAUUGGGACUGAGACACGGCCCAAACUCCUACGGGAGGCAGCAGUGGGGAAUAUUGGACAAUGGGCGCAAGCCUGAUCCAGCCGUGCCGCGUGAGUGAUGACGGCCUUCGGGUUGUAAAGCUCUUUUGUCCGGGAAGAUAAUGACUGCACCGGAAGAAUAAGCCCCGGCAAACUUCGUGCCAGCCGCCGCGGUAA
rnacentral:rRNA from 1 species